GGACAGAAAGACCCUAUGAAGCUUUACUGUAGCCUGGAAUUGGCUUCGGGCUUCGCUUGCGCAGGAUAGGUGGGAGGCGUUGAAGUAUUCCUUGUGGGGAAUGCAGAGCCAACGGUGAGAUACCACUCUGGCGAGGCUAGAAUUCUAACUCUUACCCGUAAUCCGGGAAGAGAACAGUUUCAGGUGGGCAGUUUGACUGGGGCGGUCGCCUCCUAAAAGAUAACGGAGGCGCGCAAAGGUUCCCUCAGGCUGGUUGGAAAUCAGCCGGAGAGUGUAAAGGCACAAGGGAGCUUGACUGCGAGAGAGACAUCUCAAGCAGGUAGGAAACUAGGCCUUAGUGAUCCGACGGCGCUGAGUGGAAGGGCCGUCGCUCAACGGAUAAAAGUUACUCUAGGGAUAACAGGCUGA
rnacentral:rRNA from 1 species